rnacentral:rRNA from 1 species
AUGAUCAAGCAGAUCCUUGGGCGGUUCCCUAAGAAGCCGUCCAAGUCCGGGGACAAGGAUCCGAUCGGACGGUCAGGCGCCUCCGUGUCCAACCCCCCGAGAGGCGCGGAGAGGGCAUCCGGCCACACGCCAAUUAUCUCCAGCUCUGGGCUCAGCUACGGCGACGGCCAGCAUCCGGGUAACGGAAACAACUCGAGGGUCAACAAUGGCAAUUCAUCGGCCUUCGAGCUGCUCCCGGGCUUUAAGGAUGUCCCCAACGCCGAGAAGAAUAACCUCUUCGUCAAGAAACUGAACCUGUGCUGCGUCACGUUUGACUUCAGCGACCCGACAAAGAGCAUGAAGGAGAAGGAAGUAAAACGACAAACUCUGUUGGAGCUCGUGGACUAUGUCGCCUCGGCCAAUCAGAAGUUUCCGGAGAUAGUUAUGCAGGAGACCACGAGGAUGGUUUCUCUGAACCUGUUCAGGACGCUGACCACCCCUCCCAGGGAGAACAACAUUUCAGCCUAUGAUUUGGAUGAGGAUGAGCCUGUGAUGGACCCUGCUUGGUCGCACUUGCAGAUUGUUUAUGAGUUGUUCUUGAGGUUCAUUCAGUCUCCGGAGACUGAUGCCAAGCUGGCUAAAAGGUACAUCGAUCAUUCCUUUGUCCUCAGGCUACUUGAUCUCUUUGACUCCGAAGACCCCAGGGAGAGAGAGUACCUCAAGAUGAUACUCCAUCGUGUCUAUGGAAAGUUCAUGGUUCAUCGGCCAGUUAUUAGGAAAGCCAUCAACAACACCUUCUACCAGUUCAUCUACGAAACUGAAAAGCACAAUGGAAUUGCAGAGCUACUGGAGAUCUUAGGGAGCAUCAUCAACGGGUUUGCGUUGCCACUUAAGGAAGAGCAUAAAUUGUUCCUUAUCAGGGCCUUGAUUCCACUACACAAGCCAAAGUGCAUUGCAAUGUAUCAUCAACAGUUGUCUUACUGCAUUACGCAGUUCGUUGAAAAAGAUUGUAAACUUUCAGACACAGUUAUCAGGGGCCUACUGAAAUAUUGGCCCAUCACAAACAGCAACAAGGAGGUGAUGUUUUUGGGAGAGUUAGAAGAGAUACUAGAAGCUACACAGCCUGCAGAGUUUCAGAAAUGCAUGGUUCCUCUUUUCCGCCAGAUUGCACGUUGUCUGAACAGCUCUCACUUUCAGGUUGCUGAGAGAUCAUUGUUUUUGUGGAACAAUGACCAUAUCGAGAGUUUGAUCAAACAGAACAGCAAGGUGAUAUUGCCUAUCAUAUUCCCUGCACUGGAGAGAAAUUCCAGCGGGCACUGGAACCCAGCUGUGCAAAGCCUCACUCUUAAUGUGCGCAAAUUGUUCUCUGAUCAUGACGCCGGACUGUACACCGAGUGUCUGCGGAAAUACGAAGAAGCCAAAGCCAAAGAGAAGGAGAAUAAAUUGAAGCAAGAAGCCACAUGGAAACGCCUAGAAGAGAUUGCGUCAUCAAGAGCAACCAGUGGAGAGGCUGUGCUCGUCCAUCGAACCUUACCCCGUCAAUCUUCAGCUGUGUAG